rnacentral:tRNA from 1 species
UGGCUCAGAGGUUAAAGCAUCUGCCUCCAAUGCGGAAGACCCGGGUUCAAUCCCUGG